GAUGGCGUUAAGAAAUCCUAAUUAGAAAACCCUAAUUUUUCAAUCAAAACCCUAAUUUAAAAUUAUUGGGUUUAAUUACGAUGUUAAUGUAUAAGUGUUGUAAUUUACCAAAUGAUAGAAAUUAAUUGGUAAAUGAUAAGAAUUACCAUCUAGUGAUUAAAUACUACAUUUAAUUGCCUUGUACAAAAAUGCCCAUGAAAUUUUAUGUGAAAUUACCAAAAUACCCUUUAGUGUAUUAUUAGUUAUAUUAUGGAAUUUUAAAAUCUAAAGUGAUAAACCCUAAUGGUUAUGGCCAAUGUCUAAAAUGCCCUUCAUGGUAGACAUGAGAAGUCUAAACUACCAUUGUGCAUUAUUAAAGGAAGAAACCAAUUAUUAGAGUGAAAAUGACUAUUUUACCCUUUUUGUCCAUUUAGUGUAUUAUUAGUGAAUUAUUGUGCAUUAUUAGUUGCAUUGAUGGUAGAAUCUUACAAGUGACCAGCCAACCACCUUACCCUACUGAUUUAACAUUUAUAGAACACAUUUCUCAACUAUUACAAACACAUGGCAUCAAUUCAUGGUGUAUUUAAGGAGACUUAUACACUAAAAUUAUGCACAAACACCUAGCUUUACUCUCUCAAGCUCUUACCAACGAAAUUAUCUUGCCCAUAAGCUCCUAAUCAAANNNNN
rnacentral:lncRNA from 1 species